rnacentral:lncRNA from 1 species
GUACAGCCCAGAGAGGUAUCAGCUCGUAGCCCCUCGAGUCCUGCCACGGACUCCGCAGAGGUGGACGCGCCGCGGAGUUGGGGGACGGCUCCCCCAAGCAGCCCGCUCUUCACCGCGCGGAAGCAAACUUAGCGGCGCGGCCAGCCCCACAGCCAUUUUCCCGGGAACCCGAGGAAGCGGACGAGGAGGCGGCUGCAACUGCGGCGGCGGUUCCUGCAGUUGCUGCCGCUGGUCAAUGGCUGGCCCCUUCCCUUGCGCUCGCCGUGCCACUUGCCUAGCAUCCCUCUCCCCACCUCCAAAGCUUCCAACUGCACCGGGACCUCGGGCAGCAGCAGCUGCUGCUACUGCCACUUCGUCCAUUCAGUAUCCCCGGAUUCCCCUCUCCCCACCUACCAACUGCGGGUGAAGUGCGCGCUGUCAGCUCCAGAGUCCUCCUCCCCUCUGACCUCCGUGGGCCCCCGUCCGGGCAGCACCACUCCCAGCCGCGGCUGCAGUUCCUGCGCCGGGUUCCCCACUCGCCCCGAUUUACUGCCACAAUCCACCAAAUAACAAGCUGUUGAGCAGACUCGCUUCUACACGAACUCCUAUUGGCUGCUCAUGACGCCGAAGAGCUUCGGAUAGGACCUCGCUACCUGCCGUCCUCAUUGGAUGUAGCUGUGAAACUUCAUGGAUUGGUGAGAAAAACAGCAGGUAGGACAUCUUCCACUUAUGAUUGGCUUUUUCCGAAAACCAACUUUAUUGGAGAGUUGGUUAUUGAGUAAGCAAGUCCUGAGAAAUGAUUGGUAGAGACGACUCCGGAUGUGCUUGACUGGGCACUGAUUGGUGAAUUGAGGGGUCAGGAAGAGCAGUUCGACACGAGGAUUGGCGGCGGAGUGUCCCAUGGAAACGGAACCCAGAAUUGCAGCCAGGGGCUUGCACGGGGGCGGGGCAGGGUCUGUCCAAGGCGCUUGCGCUAAACCAGCUUGUCGGCGCCAUUUUGUCUCGGCAGCGGUGGCCGUAGCUCCAUCGCAUUUUAUGUUUCUGGCGAGAAGGGAACGGAGUUUUCAUCAGGUAGAUUGGUUUUUGUGCGGCCGUCCUCCACCGUUUCCUCCAGGACAGCACCUAGUCGUGGCCGGAGGAGUCUCAGAGCUGUCAGAAAGAAUAAGACUGAUUUUAUGGGAAAAUUAAGCAGAUGCUCCAGUUUGAGAAACCUGGAUCUGCGAUCUGUUUGUGGCACAGCACUUUGGGAGGCUGAGGCGGGCGUGAGAUUGGGAGUUUGAGACCAGCCUGACCAACAUGGAGAAACCGCAUCUCUACUAAAAAUACAAAAUUAGCCUGGCGUGGUGGCGCAUGCCUGUAAUCCCAGCUACUCUGGAGGCUGAGGCAGGAGAACCGCUUGAAUCCGGGAGGCGAAGGUCACGAGUGGUAUUCAGUUAAGAGAACAAUUAUUUCGUAUAAGCCACAUCAGAGACGACUGAAGAUGAAAAAACUACCAUCCCCGUAUAUAACUAAUUUGUGCUGUGCACCAACAAGAACCUGCUUUAAAUUUCCAUGGCAAUUUACAACCCCCAUACUGUACCAGGUACCAGCAUCAAGAUGAUUUAUGGUAAUAAGAUAUAAAACCAAGGAAAAUAACCUAAAGUCUGAAAAAGACCAGAAUCGAAGUUUCCUGAUUCAUAUUUUAAUGUUUUGAAAUUUAUACUCCAGGCUGGGUGCAGUGGCUUGUGCCUGUAAUCCCAGCACUUUGGGAGGCCGAGGCGGCCGGAUUGCCUGAAGUCAGAAGUUCGAGACCAGCCUGACCAACAUGGUGAAACCCUGUCUCUACUUAAAAAUACAAAAGAGCUGGGCAUGGAGGUGGUGCGCGCCUGUAACCCUAGCUACUCGGGAGGCUGAGGCCUAAGAAUCUCUUGAACCCAGGAGGCAGAGGUUGUAGUGAGCCGGGAUCACGCCACUGCACUCUAGCCUGGGCGACAGAGAGAGAGACUGUCUAAAAAAGGAAAAGAAAAAAAUUUAUACGCCAAAAAAGAUAUUCUGAGAUAACCUGUAGUUACCACUAACUUUGUGACAAAAUUAUAAAAAUCCACAGCCAUCUAUGAAUCUGUAGGCAGACCUGAAGUUUGAACGACUGGUGAAGACAUCUGAUUUUCUUUAUAGCCAAGUUAGGAUAACAAAAUGCAAACAAGUCAUUAAUAUUUACUAUAUGCAAGAUACAGAAAGAUGAAGGAAGGAGUAAGAAGUUAUCCUUCGUGGAACUAUUCAAAGCAAAAAUGCAAAAUACCAGGGAAAGCUUUGAAGAACCAAGAUUUGAGCAGGUUCUUAGAAUAUAGAUUGGAUUGGAUUUGAUUUCAAGAAAGAUGAACGUGUAAAGCAGAAGUGGGAAGCCAAAAACUUUUUUCCAAAUUAGAAUUAAGCAUUCUUUCAAUGAACAUUUGGAAAUCAAGGUAGAAAAAUAUCCCUAGGGCCUAGCUGAGGAGUCUGUAUGUUGUUGGGUUUUGAUAGUAACCAGUCCAAGAUUUUGUUAUUAGACGUGGGUUUCUGAAUAGACAGGCAUUUCUGAACAGACAUGACAGGAUCAAAACAAUGUUUGAGCAAACUGCCCUUCAUCUACUGUGGAUAUGUUGGGGGAUGAUGGAAUAUAGUGAAAGAUAAUGGGUGCUCAUACAGCAGUCUAGACUUAAGGUGAUUCAACUACUAUAUAUUAAACUAGAUUAUCUUUUAUUUUUUAAUUUUGAAAUCUGGAUGCUCAAGCUCUGCCUGCACAACCACAUGAGGAAGAAGGAACAAUGACAACAAAAAUAACACUAAAUUUAAAUUUAAGAGUACUACUUUUAGGAAAUAGACAAACCAUUAUUUGGGUACAACUAAAGGCAACUGGCAUGGACUCAAAUAUUUUGGGGAAGAAAAAGACUAAAAGUUCUAAGGAAGAAAAUGCGAACCUUGAUAGUUUGAAAUAGUUAAAAAGACAGUGUAGAAACUGCUUAGGCAGUUUGAUUAUGGACUAUUAGAUGAUACUUGGGUCUGAUAAUGGUAUAAGGAGAAUAAAGUAUUUAGGGAUCCAAUAUUACGCCUGCAGCUUUUUCCAAAUAGUUCAUGGGGGAGGGGGAUGUGUAAGUGGUUAACUGAAGUCUAACUAGAUAGGUUUGUUGUAAGCUUAGGAUGUUUACAGUUCUUCAUGUUAAGUUGAGCGUGAUGGGAAGGGAAAGAAUGCUGAUCUUUAAAUUUUUGUCCUUAGUUAAGUUCUGUAUUUAGUGAAUUAAUUGCAUCCUAAAAAGUCAAACUUGAAAAGCACAUUUUAAAUGGCAAAUCUAUUUUUUACAUGUUUGUGAAGUUUUUAUUUUUUAGUAAACAGACCAUCAGAAGAGAACAAUGGUACAGAGCAGGGGUCAGCAGAUGGAUUUUGUAAAGCAUCAACUUGUAAAUAUUUUCAAGUUUAUUAGCUGUAUGGCUCUGGUUUCUGUUCCCUGUUCCAAAUGUUAAAGUCUACUGUUGUAUUCUAAAAGCAGCCAUGGACUGAAUGUAGCUGUGUUCCAAUAAAACUUACACAAAAGCAGGCAGUGGGCCAUAAUUUGCAACACCUGAUUCACAGCAUAAUUUUGUCACAAACUGAAAGUGUUCCUCAAUUAAAGUGAUUUUUUUUUCUUGAUUUUUCUCUGGGAUUUAUUGUUUUUCCCAUUCCUUGCUAGGAUUUAACUACAGAAAGACAGAUAGUAACUGCUCUAAAUAUUCUAAUUUCCUUUAUUUUUUUGAGAUAAGGUGUCGCUCUGUUGCCCUGGCUGGAGUGCAGUGGCGUGAUCAUAGCUCACUGUAGCCCCCAACUCCUGGCUGGGGCUCAAACAGUCCUCCUGCCUCAGCCUCCCAAGUAGCUGGGACUACAGGCACGCACCACCUCACCUCGCUAACAUUUUGUUUUGGGAGAUAGGGUCUUACUCUUUUGCCCAGCCUGGUCUUGGAACUACUGGGCUCAAGCAGUCCUCCCAACUUGGCCUACCAAACUGGUAGGAUUACAGGGGUAAUCCCCCUCAACUGACAUAAAUAUUCUAAUUUUCAAAUUUCCAUAUAAUAGUAUGGAGAGAUGAAAACAAAAGGAAAAGAGUAGAAGAUAGGAACCUAGCAUCAUACUAGUAAGUGUGCAAUGGAAAAGAACAUAGGUCUAAGACUCAUAAGGUCUGGAUACUGUUCAGAACCAGCUGAUUCUGUGGUCCUAUGCAGUGUGUUUAAUCUGCAGUUGAGCUUGGGCUAAAUGACCUCUAAGAUCCUUUUGUCAGCUUUACUAAAAUACGAAACAAAUUAGGUUUUAUAGGGGGUUCUAGAACUUAGCAUUGUAUAAAUGCCAAGCACUAAUAAGUAUUUUCUAGAAGCUGGUCUUAAAUAAGUUGAAUGAGUAAUUAGUUGAGCAGGGUUCUAGUACAGCAUUAACAUUAAAUGUAUGUGAAAUUGUAUCUCACUUCAGUUUACCAAAACACUGAUAAAUGGUAUGCCUGCUUUUUAGGCAAGUUUCUGACAGGUAAUCAAUAAUAUUGAAACAGUAUCCAUGAAGUCUUUAAGUUGAUCAACGCAUGGCUAAAAGGAAAACCAAGUUUUUAAGAAAACUUUUUCACACUAAUAGCUGAAUUUUGUGAAAGAAAAAGUGGGUAGUCGUAAGAGUGUAGGCUUUAUGCCUUACCUGGCUAGGAGCAAAGCUAAGAGAACCGGUGGAGCACAGCCAGACAUAAAAGCUGUGUUCCAAAGAAAGAAUAUAGGAAAAAUAUAACUUUUUAUUAACUCAAAAUUUUAAACAAAAUUUUCAAACUAGAGCUCACAGAGAUUCAUAAAUAGGUUUCAAGGAUUUUGUGAAAUCAUAUCAAAAGUUGUGUUUUUCUAGAUUGAGGCUUUAUAGCAGUUAUUCAGAAUCUAUAAAGGGAUGUAUAACACAACUCUACAGAUAAUAUGUUACCAGCUUUCCCAUUCAGUGACUUAGCAGCUUCAUAAACUCUCAACAUCAAACCACACUAUAUCCUUACACCGAGCUUCCCCAGCCACAGGCCACAUGGGGCCAAACACAAAUUCGUAAACUUUCUUAACACAUGAUGAGAUUUUUUUUUAAGCUCAUCAGCUAUCAUUAGUGUUGGUGUAUUUUAUGUGUGGCCCAGGGAAGCCAAAUGAUUGGACAUCCCUGCCUUAGACUGAAAUGUCUGUGGUGAUAAAAUUUCACUGCAUUAGGAUGACGACAUAGUAAAAAUUCAAGCAUUAAUUAUUACCUGAAGCUUCUCUAUUUCCGUCUUUGCAGCUUGCCUGGCUUUGCCGAUGGCACAGCCCCAAUAACCCUAUUUAGAAAAAAAUAUAUAUAAUCACUGAAUUAGUACACUAUCAUAUGUAAUUAAUGACUACUAAUGUUUCUAUAACCUAGUGAAAGGAUGCUAAAUGACUUUUAAAAGCAAGUAUAGAAAAAUAUAGUCAAACACAUUCUGAUGAAUGCCAAAGGGCUCAAAAAUACUAAAAUACCAAACAAUUCCAAAACAACCUGUAUUUUUAAUAAAGGUAUAUCCAAAAAUAUGUAAAUUAUGUAAUCAUAUACACUUUAAGACAUUUUGGGGAACAGGAACGGAAAAGAUUUUAGCACUAUGACAAUGAAAAAUGAAAUUAUAUAUUCCUGAGAGACAGAAAUAAAGUUAAUUCCUAUGAGUUCAGUACUCUAAACCCCCAAUUUUAUUAUUUUGUAAAUUUUUUUAAAGAUAAGGAUGCACAGCUGGGUGUGGUGGGUCAUGCCUGUAAUCCCAGCACUAUGGAAGGCCAAGGUGGGCAGAUCACCUCAGGUCAGGAGUUGGAGACCGGCCUGGCCAACAUUGUAAAACCCUGUCUCUACUAAAAAUACAAAAAAAUUAGCUAGGUGUGGUGGCAGGUGCCUGUAAUGCCAGCUACUCCAGAGGCUGAGGCAGGAGAAUCGCUUGAAUCUGGGAGGCAGAGGUUGCAGUGAGCUGAGACCGCGCCACUGCACUCCAGCCUGGGCAACAGAGUGAGACUCCAUCAAAAAAAAAAAAAAAAAGGAUGUACACAUAUAUACUUCUGUUACAGCAAAAUAUAUUUAAGAAUCUUCAUUUUCUUCAAUUAGUAAAAACGACAAAAAUGUAAGGAUAAGAAAACAGUUAAGAAACGGUAACAGGCCGGGUGCAGUGGCUCACACAAAGUGCUUGUAAUCCCAGCACUUUGGGAAUCUGAGGCACGUGGAUCACUUGAGGCCAGGAGUUCCAGACCAGCCUGGGCAACAUGGUGAAAGUCUGUCUCUACUAAAAAUACAAAAAUUAGCCAGGUGUGAUGGUACAGGCCUGUAAUCCCAGCUACUUGAGAGGCUGAGGCACAAGAAUCCCUUGAAUCCGGGAGGCAGAGGUUACAGUGAGCCAAGAUUGCACCACUGCAGUCCAGCCUGGGCAACUGAGCAAGACUCUGUCUCAAAAAAAAAAAAAAAUGGUAAUAAUUUAGGGAAAGCUCUUAGAAAUCACAUUUAAACCUUCUCUUUAAAAGGGAAGGCAGGGCAAGGUGGCUCACACCUAUAAUCCCAGCAUUUUGGGAGACCAAGGUGGGCGGAUUACUUGAGAUCAGGAGUUCGAGACCAGCCUGGCUAACAUGGUGAAACCUCGUCUCUACUGAAAAUACAAAAAUUAGCCGGGUGUGGUGAUGCAUGCUUCUAAUCCCAGCCUACUCGGGAGGCUGAGGCAGAAUUGCUUGAACUGGGGAGGUGGAGGUUUGGCGCCACUGCACUCCAGUCUGGGUGACAGAGCGAGACGCUGUCUGAAACAAAAUUAGGUCCGGCACUGUGGCUCACGCCUGUAAUCCUUGCACUUUGGCAGGCCGGGGUGGGCAGACCACCUGAGGUCAGGAGUUGGAGACCAGCUGGCCAACAUGGCAAAACCCCAUCUGUACUAAAAAUACAAAAAUUAACCAGGCAUGGUAGUACAUGCCUGUAAUCCCAGCUAAUCAGGAGGCUGAGACAGGAGAAUUGCUUGAACCUAGGAGGCGGAAGAGGUUGCAGUGAACCAAGAUCGAGCCACUGCACUCCAGCCUGGGAGACAGAGUGACACUCCAUCUUAUAAAUAAAUAAAAUAAAAGGGAUGACAUGGCUGGACAUCGAUGCUCACGCCUGUAGUCCCAGCAUUUUGGGAGUCCAAGGCAGGAGGACUGCUUAAGGCCAGGAGUUUGAGACCAGCCCUGGGAACGUGGAAAGACCUUGUCUCUAUAGACACCAAAAAAAUACAAAAAUUAGCUAGGCAUGGUGGCAUGAGCCUGUAGUCCCAGCUACUUGGGAGGCUUAGGUAGGAGGAUCGCCUGAGCCCAGGAGUUGAGAGGCUGAAGUGAGCUAUGAUUGUGUCACUGCACUCCAGCCUGGGCAAGAAUGAGGAAAAAAGACAUUAAAUACAGUUUUAAGACAGUGUUUAUAGUAAUAAAGGAAAAUCACAUAUUCAAAAUACUAUAUGCACUAUACAGUUUCUAUAAAUAACAUACUGAAAAAAAAUCUUUCCUCUGCCUCGUAUCAGUUAUUAAUGAUAAGAAAACAUGGCUGGGCCUGGUGGCUCACACCUGUAAUACUCGCACUUUGGGAGACCCAGGUGGGUAGAUCUCUUGAGGACUGGAAUUCAAGACCAGUCUGGCCAACAUGGCAAAGGCCUGUUUCUACUAAAAAUAAAAAAAAUUAGCCAGGUGGUGCACACCUGUAAUCCCAGCUACCCGGGAGGCUGAGGCAGAAGAACUGUUUGAACCUGGGAGGCAGAGGUUGCAGUGAGCUGUGAUCACACCACUGUGCUCCAGCCUGGGCCACAGUGAGACCCUGUUCCCCCAAAAAGGAAAAAAAAAAAAAUUCUGUUGGACAAGAGGUUGUUGUAAAAAAAAAAAAAAGAAAAAUUACUUUCCUUGAAUGAGUUUUUUUUUAAUUUCAUAUAAUCUUAUAAUGAGACUUAAAUGCUAAUGAAAUACCAUUAAACUAAAAUAGAAUUUCAAAUGAUUCAAAAUUACUCACGUAUGAAACACCUGAUGGGUCAAUCAUGUAGAGUUGCGCACCGUCAUUCACACUGUAAGACCCUAACAUGAAACUGCAUGAAAGUAUACAAACAGCUUAAACCAUGGCAAUAACAUAAAAGUAUUUGUGAAAAAAUUAUUUUAAAAUGCAGUUAUAUUUUCUUUCUGAGAUAAAUUACUAAUACACAUAUAACUCAGUAAGUACUUUGAAACAGUGGUUUCAAUUAAUUAAAACUAUUACAUGAGAUUAUUCAAAAUUCAUGUAGCUUUUGUUUGUUUAGUAUUAAUCUUUCUGAUGAAGGUCUCCUGGAAAGUCUAGCAGUACAGGGAAAGGAGUAACGAUAGAUGAAAACCACAACUAUGAGAGGGCCCAAUAAAUAAGGCAUAAACACAAAAAGAUCAAGGGAACAAAAUUCCUGACGGAGAGUAUACUGAAUCCAUGUGAAAUUCUUUCCACCCUUCAUUCUAUUUCCCAAUAUCCUGCCAAUCAUUUCUCUGCAAUAAUCAGAAUUGGUUCAGUGUAUUUUUCUGUGCUCAACAAAUUAGGCUAUUAGCUGAUUGUAUGAAAUACUGAUUUUCUGAAAUUGUGACAUACAGUGGGCACUGUUUCCAUGAGUUCUGCAUCUGUGGAUUCAACAAACCACAGAUAGAAAACUUUCAAAAAACAUUGCUUCUGUACUGAACAACUGUGAUUUUCUUGUCAUUAUUCCCUAAACAAUACAGUGUAACAGCUAUUUACACUGUGUUAGGUAUUGCAAGUAAUCUAGAGAUGACAACAUACAGGAGGAUAUGCACAGGUUAUAUGCAAAUACUUAACCAUUUUAUAUCAGGGACUUCAGCAACCUUGGAUUUUGGUAUUCAUGGGAGGUCCUAAAACCAAUCCCCCACAAAUACCAAGGGACAACUAUAUUUGCCUUAGAGUAGAAAAGAAAUCAGCAGCAUCUUACACAUCAUCUUAUAUGCGGAAUAUUUUAACUAUUCAAUUCCCAUCCCUACCGUCAUUUCCUUCCAUUUUCUACCGAUAUGAGACUUAUCCUUCAGGAUAUAUAGCUCAUUGUCACUAUUUUAAAGCCUUUCAACAUUUCUUUGAAGAAAAUCAGCAUGGAGCACAGACUUUUAUAUGACUGGACCCCUUCCUACAUCAGUAUCAUCUCUAAACCUCAUACUCUACACACCAAGCAUACUUAACUCUCUCUGGCGCACGUAUUUUCAUACCAGUUCCUGUGCUUGCAACUACCAAGUCUCCCUACAUCUCACACUCUUCCUUGCCUCCUGUCCAGAAAGAGUCCGUUCCCUAAUUGUUGUCCCUUUAUCAUAUCACUAAUAUUUUAUCAAUGUGACUUCACACCUGUGUCUCCACAUUUAUGACUAACUCAGUGCCCAAUAGAUGUUUACUAAAAAAGUUCUCUCUGGCCCAGUGCGGUGGCUCACGCCUGUAAUCCCAGCACUUUGGGAGGCUGAGGUGGAUCACUUGAGGUCAGGAGUUUGAGACCAGCCUGGCCAACAUGGCGAAACCCUGACUGUACUAAAAAUAAAAAAAUUAGCCGGGCGUGGUGGCAGGUGCUUGUAAUCCCUGCUACUCAGGAGGUUGAGGCAGGAGAAUAGCUUGAACCCGGGAGGCAGAGGUUGCAGUGACCUGAGAUCGUGCCACUGCAUUCCAGCCUGGGCGACAGAGCGAGACUCCAUCUCAAAACAAAACAAAACAAACAAAAAAAAAGUUAUGAAAAAAAGUUAUCUCUACUAUUCUUACUCCCUUAAAAAGAGUAGAGAAGUUAACUGAUGAACUCAGAGCUCAGUUGAAAGGUAUUUUACAUGGUCUGAAAACAAAGUGUUUCAUAAUGUAAUUUAACUGAGAAGCUUAAGAAUGACUAAUGUCAGCCUGGGCAGCAUGGUGAGACCCCGUCUCUACAAAAAAAAAUUUUGUUAAUUAGCCAGGCAUGGUGGCCCAUGCCUGUGGUCCCAGCUACUUGGGAGGCUGAGGUAGGAGCAUCGCUUGAGCCAGGUCAAAGCUGCAGUCAGCCAUGAUGGCACCACUGCACUCCAGCUCAGGUGACAGUAACUGUCUCAAAAAGUAAAAACAAAACCCUAAUGUAAUAUUACCAAUAGAAUAAAACUCAAGUUUUCUUUAAUAUCUUAGUAAUUAAAUAUGACUGAUGAUAAACAACUCAAAGGUAGGACUACAGCUGAGCACUCAGAUGUUAGUAUAUGUAUUAUUUUGACCAAACAUGUUUGACUGUUUUAAGUCAUAAGCCAAACAUGUCUUUUCAUUUUAGAAAAAUCUAGUCACAAGUCUUCUCUGUGAAGCCAAAUUUGAAUAUUUAUACCUAUUCCAGGUCUUUAUGCAGCUGAAUCUCCACUUUACCCCACAAUAAAAUAUCAGCACUUCAACAGAAAGAGAAACCGUGCCUAAUGGGAAUUGUGAGACGUAAUUUUUAAAAUUACCUAAGAAUAUCAGGGACUAACACCGAGAGCUUAUUAUAAUCAGAUUAAAGUCAUUGUUAUCAGUUCCUUGUUUUAUAAUCACUUCAGAUCUAUAUAGUCCUUUUCACUAUUGAAACCUUUUUUUUUUUUUUUUUUUUUUUUUUAAAGAGGCAGAGUCUCUAUUGCGCCAGCUAGAGUACAGUGGUAUGGCCACAGCUCAUUCCAGCCUUCAACUCCUGGGCUCAAAUGAUCCUCUCAAGCAGCUCCUAAGUAGCUGUGACUACAGGCAUGUGAUACUGCACCUGGCUAAAUUUUAAAUUUUUUUUGUAGAGAUAGGUUCUCACUGCGUUGGCCAGGCUGGUCUCAUACUCCUGGGCGCGAGGGAUCCUCCCACCUCAACCUCCCAAAGUACUGGGAUUACAGGCUUGAGCCAUGGCACCCAGCCUCAAGUAGUUUCUAUGUACACUGUUUUAUUUAAUCAUUGCCCUAAUACUUAUCGACGAGUUUCUAUUUUUAAGUAUGUAAAAGGCUAAGAUGCUGGGGAACAUAAUAAAUAUCUAUAGUACAGAUCUGCCUUUUGAAUAAUUCACAAAAUUUCUUACCUGCAGCCAAAAGGUCUAACAGCACUGUAGAGUGUAUAUGCAUGCACAUACAUGGCCACUCUGUCUGCAAGAUGCUAUGGAGGGAAGCAGAAGAGCUUAUUAAUAAACUUCUAUUACUGUCCAAAAGGUUCCUCAAUAUGUUAUCAACUUACUUUUAGUGGAAUGUUGUAGCCAAAGUUAGAUCUGAAGUUGGAAGCUUCUUCUCUUGCUAUGUCUGCUAAAGAACGAGCAUCUGCCAACAAACCUGCUACUGCCUGAAAAAAAAGCACCAAUUUACUAGAGGAACACAUUCCUAUCACAAAUCAAAGUCUGCAAUUAAUAAAGACUUAUUAAACAUUUUUUUAACAAGUAUUACCAUUCAAAAUAAACUUUUUUGGCUUAAAGGUCUCUCUACAAGGCAUUUUGAUGCUUGAGUAUGAAAUUAUAAUUUAGAAAUUUAGUAAGUAUAACUUCAUUGCUUUGUCCAAUGUUCAUAUUCAGGACAUUUCCUUUUUUUUUUUUGAUACGGGGUCUCGCUCUGUCACCAGGGCUGGAGUACAGUGGCAUGAUCUCCGCUCACUUCACACUCUGCCUCCUGGGUUCAUGCCAUUCUCCUGCCUCAGCCUCCUGAGUAGCUGGGACUACAGGCGCCUGCCACCACGCCCGGCUAAUUUUUUUGUAUUUUUAGUAGAGAUGGGGUUUCACCAUGUCAGCCAGGACGGUCUUGAUCUCCUGACCUCGUGAUCUGCCUGCCUCAGCCUCCUAAAGUGCUGGGAUUACAGGCGUGAGCCACCGUGCCCGGCCAAUAUUCAGGACUACUUCUAUCAUAAAUCCUCUUCCCCUGAUUUACUACCACUACCUCAUUAUAACGAAUAAAAACCAUGGGUCUUGGUCAGAUUUUUUUUUUUUUUUUUUUUUGAGACAGAGUCUCACUGUGUCACCUAGGCUGGAGCACAAUGGCACCAUCUGGGCUCACUUCAACCUUUGCCUCUCAGGUUCAAGGGAUUCUCCUGCCUCAGCCUCCCCAGUAGCUGGGAUUGGCUAAUUUUUAUAUUUUUAGUAGAGACAGGGUUUGGUUUUGUCAUGUUGGCCAGGCUGGUCUUGA